rnacentral:lncRNA from 1 species
GCUUGCGGCUUGGUUGUGCUUUGUUGUGUUGCGUAAUUGUUUGUUUCCCCCACCCCUCUUCUGUUUACAGGCUGCUGAAAAGACAAAGUUGAGAAACAUUCCUGUAAAGAUUAGGGGGUUUGUGCUGCUCCUCACUUGUGCUUCACUUGGAGGAAUUUCCAGGCUUUGUUUUUAACCUAAUGUGGAUUUACAAGGAAGGAGAAACGAC